rfam:Gossypium raimondii Chr12_contig_783, whole genome shotgun sequence.
UAUUAAAAAUUUCCUCCAUUUGUACUAUAAAAAAUUGGCGUAGUUGACAAAAUGACCAGACAAUAACAUGCGACGUGCCACUUUUACCUCAUGUUAAUUUACAAGGGUAAGUUUUUAACAGUAAAAAUAGAUGAAGCUUUUAAUA